rnacentral:misc_RNA from 1 species
GAAAUGCGAUACGCAAUGCGAAUUGCAGAAUUCCGCGAGUCAUCAGAUCUUUGAACGCAACUGGCGCUAGAGGGAUAUCCUUCUAGCAUGCUUGUUUCAGUGUCUCGAAACCUCACAUAUCUUAAUGUGAUUGACCUUUAGUUCUUCCGAGAACAGGGGGGUCUCUCAUGAAAUAUGAUAGUGUGGAUCUUUCGGUCCAAUGAAGUAGUCACAUUUCACAAUGUGAUUUCAUUGGUAAUACUGAAUUAUCCGAAAACACUAUGAGAAACAAACAAUCUUCAAUAUGCAUCUGAAAUCAAGCAAGGUCACCUGCUGAACUUAA